rnacentral:rRNA from 1 species
UACGGAGGGUGCGAGCGUUGUUCGGAAUUACUGGGCGUAAAGCGCGUGCAGGCGGCCGAUUAAGUCCGGUGUGAAAGCCCGGGGCUCACCCCCGGAAGUGCGCUGGAAACUGGUCGGCUAGAGUACGGGAGAGGGAAGUGGAAUUCCUGGUGUAGCGGUGAAAUGCGUAGAUAUCAGGAGGAACACCGGCGGCGAAGGCGGCUUCCUGGACCGAUACUGACGCUGAGACGCGAAAGCGUGGGGAGCAAACAGGAUUAGAAACCCCCGUAGUCC